rnacentral:rRNA from 1 species
CCUACGGGAGGCAGCAGUGGGGAAUAUUGCACAAUGGGGGAAACCCUGAUGCAGCGACGCCGCGUGAGUGAAGAAGUAUUUCGGUAUGUACAGCUCUAUCAGCAGGGAAGAAAAUGACGGUACCUGAUUAAGAAGCCACGGCUAACUACGUGCCAGCAGCCGCGGUAAGACGUAGGGGGCAAGCGUUAUCCGGAUUUACUGGGUGUAAAGGGAGCGUAGACGGCAGCACAAGUCUGGAGUGAAAUGCCGGGGCUCAACCCCGGGACUGCAUUGGAAUCUGCCGAACUAGAGUGUCGGAGAGGCAAGUGGAAUUCCUAGUGUAGCGGUGAAAUGCGUAGAUAUUAGGAGGAACACCAGUGGCGAAGGCGGCUUGCUGGACGAUGACUGACGUUGAGGCUCGAAAGCGUGGGGAGCAAACAGGAUUAGAUACCCCUGUAGUC